AACGAACGCUGGCGGCAUGCCUAACACAUGCAAGUCGAACGAGACCUUCGGGUCUAGUGGCGCAUGGGUGCGUAACGCGUGGGAACCUGCAAUUAGGUUCGGAAUAACCCCCCGAAAGGGGUGCUAAUACCGGAUCAUGUCUUCAGACCAAAGAUUUAUCGCCUUUGGAUGGGCCCGCGUUGGAUUAGCUAGUUGGUAGGGUAAAAGCCUACCAAGGCGACGAUCCAUAGCUGGUCUGAGAGGAUGAUCAGCCACACUGGGACUGAGACACGGCCCAGACUCCUACGGGAGGCAGCAGUGGUGAAUAUUGGACAAUGGGCGAAAGCCUGAUCCAGCAAUGCCGCGUGAGUGAUGAAGGCCUUAGGGUUGUAAAGCUCUUUUACCCGGGAUGAUAAUGACAGUACCGGAAGAAUAAGCUCCGGCUAACUCCGUG
rnacentral:rRNA from 1 species